rnacentral:lncRNA from 1 species
GGGUGGGUGGGUGAAUGUGAAGAGGCGGCGUUGGGCUAGGCCCCUGCAGCCCGCUCGGAGCGUCCUAGGCCUGGGGCUGCGCUGUGAAAGACCCAGAUUCUCAUCCCAGAGGCCCAGCAGUCCUGAAAGGCCUCCUCUCCGACCCUGAGCCGGGUCCGCCGGACAAAGUUCGGAAGCUCGGGCUAGCUGGGCCAGCGCCAUUUUCUCUCACUUGUGGCUGGAUCUGGUUGUCCCGGCGACUGCGCCCCGGCGCGGUCUCUUCUCCUCUACCUCGGAUCCCCAGCACAGACUCGCCCUCAGACGCCGGGGAAGGUGUGGUGAGCUCCCGGCCCCGGCCGAGGGGUCCCUGGAGAGGAGCUGGGUGGCGGUGGCCAGGCCGAGCGCGGUAGCUGGCCCGCGCCUCCCUCCCCGAGGCACCAUUGUUCCGGGAUCGCUGUGACCGCCACAAAGUGAAUCCUUUCGGUGCGGACAGUCGCCUUCAAAGCCAGGCCCCGGAUUCAGGGCUUUCCCUGGCGCGGACACUCC